ensembl:snRNA U6 U6 spliceosomal RNA
AUGCUCGCUUCAGCGGCACAUAUACUAAAACUGGAACAAUACAUAGAAGAUUGGCACGGCCCCUGCCCAAGAAUGACACACAAAGUCAUGAAGCAUUCCAUAUUUUU